ACGAACGCUGGCGGCGUGCUUAACCCAUGCAAGUCGAACGGAAAGGCCCUGCUUUUGUGGGGUGCUCGAGUGGCGAACGGGUGAGUAACACGUGAGUAACCUGCCCUUGACUUUGGGAUAACUUCAGGAAACUGGGGCUAAUACCGGAUAGGAGCUCCUGCUGCAUGGUGGGGGUUGGAAAGUUUCGGCGGUUGGGGAUGGACUCGCGGCUUAUCAGCUUGUUGGUGGGGUAGUGGCUUACCAAGGCUUUGACGGGUAGCCGGCCUGAGAGGGUGACCGGCCACAUUGGGACUAAGAUACGGCCCAGACUCCUACGGGAGGCAGCAGUGGGGAAUAUUGCACAAUGGGCGGAAGCCUGAUGCAGCAACGCCGCGUGCGGGAUGACGGCCUUCGGGUUGUAAACCGCUUUCGCCUGUGACGAAGCGUGAGUGACGGUAAUGGGUAAAGAAGCACCGGCUAACUACGUG
rnacentral:rRNA from 1 species